rnacentral:rRNA from 1 species
AGUCAUGGUUAAGUGGGAAACGAUGUGGGAAGGCCCAGACAGCCAGGAUGUUGGCUUAGAAGCAGCCAUCAUUUAAAGAAAGCGUAAUAGCUCACUGGUCGAGUCGGCCUGCGCGGAAGAUGUAACGGGGCUAAACCAUGCACCGAAGCUGCGGCAGCGACGCUUAUGCGUUGUUGGGUAGGGGAGCGUUCUGUAAGCCUGUGAAGGUGUGCUGUGAGGUAUGCUGGAGGUAUCAGAAGUGCGAAUGCUGACAUAAGUAACGAUAAAGCGGGUGAAAAGCCCGCUCGCCGGAAGACCAAGGGUUCCUGUCCAACGUUAAUCGGGGCAGGGUGAGUCGACCCCUAAGGCGAGGCCGAAAGGCGUAGUCGAUGGGAAACAGGUUAAUAUUCCUGUACUUGGUGUUACUGCGAAGGGGGGACGGAGAAGGCUAUGUUGGCCGGGCGACGGUUGUCCCGGUUUAAGCGUGUAGGCUGGUUUUCCAGGCAAAUCCGGAAAAUCAAGGCCGAGGCGUGAUGACGAGGCACUACGGUGCUGAAGCAACAAAUGCCCUGCUUCCAGGAAAAGCCUCUAAGCAUCAGGUAACAUCAAAUCGUACCCCAAACCGACACAGGUGGUCAGGUAGAGAAUACCAAGGCGCUUGAGAGAACUCGGGUGAAGGAACUAGGCAAAAUGGUGCCGUAACUUCGGGAGAAGGCACGCUGAUACGUAGGUGAAGCGACUUGCUCGUGGAGCUGAAAUCAGUCGAAGAUACCAGCUGGCUGCAACUGUUUAUUAAAAACACAGCACUGUGCAAACACGAAAGUGGACGUAUACGGUGUGACGCCUGCCCGGUGCCGGAAGGUUAAUUGAUGGGGUUAGCGCAAG